rnacentral:misc_RNA from 1 species
UCACACCUUACGGUGGCAGUCUCGCUAGAGUCCCCGGCUUGACCCGCUGGCAACUAACGAUAAGGGUUGCGCUCGUUAUGGGACUUAACCCGACACCUCACGGCACGAGCUGACGACAACCAUGCAGCACCUUGUAGAGUGUCCGAAGAAGAGCUGCUUUCACAGCCUGUCACUCCACAUUUAAGCCCAGGUAAGGUUCCUCGCGUAUCAUCGAAUUAAACCACAUGGUCCUCCGCUUGUGCGGGCCCCCGUCAAUUCCUUUGAGUUUCAACCUUGCGAUCGUACUCCCCAGGUGGCUCACUUAAUGCUUUCGCUUGGCCGCUUGCUGUGUAUCGCAAACAGCGAGUGAGCAUCGUUUACGGCGUGGACUAC